GGCAUUAUGACUUCUUUUAUGGAUGGUUUUUAUGGCUAACAAUACGGAAAGAAUUUCAUAAGAACUCUCACUUCUUGCAGCAUCAGCUACAAGUUACAACAUAAAACCACCAAACCCUUGAAGAUUAUGCGAGAGCUAUAGUUUGAUGAACCAUUAAAUCAGGAAAAGGAGAGAUAUGGAAAGAAAACAAACCCACAAACAGCGCUGGUCAGCUUUAUGAGUGCUACAACUUCAAAGACUGGAAGAAACGCUCUCCAGACCGGCUGUUUUGAGGAUCAAGAGUUCAGGAGCUUUAAGGGGCCUUUAUUAGAGAAUAUUCUGCAUGAGAAACUAACAGUCUCUGAUAACACUGCAAAUAGAUAUCUUGCACUGGCGGUCCUGUAUGUAACAAACCUACUCCGGUUCCUAGGAAAAGCCAACAAUAUAAGCCUACUUAUUUUUUGCUUGUAUAUGUUGUAUUUCAACCCAGCGUGUUUUACACAAGGCUGCAGUGUGGUGAUGUGUGCGAACACCACCCCCUUUAUACUGGCACGUAAACUGAGAUGGAGGGGAAGCGCAGCCAAAAUUUUCAUAAGCAAUUUUAGGUUUGGGAUCCUUCCAUCUGGGUUGCUGAGCGUGAGAGACACAGACGUGUCCAUCGGGGUGCCCCGAAUCAGCGUGGUGGAAGGUGCGGAGGGUGCUGCCCUGCCCCGAGCGGGUUCCUCACGUACAAAGGAGGAAUGUUAUGGGGAAACAGACUUCGUAAUCCAAGCGGUCUCUCUCCUCAUUAAAAUAUCCAUUCUCUGUUUUGCAAACAAGCAGGACUGUGGCAGUUUAGUCCUUUGAGUUUGCUUUUUUAUUCUUGCAAAGGGUAGUGCGUUAGUUUUAUGCGGCACAUGCAGUACUUUUGAGCGUGUAAGAAUAAUGCAGAAGUGAAAGUUCCUUAGACACUCUGAUAACUUUAUGAACACUGAACAGAAAAACCAAGGCAGAAAAUUUAUGCUGAGCUAUGUCCAAUUAAAUGUAUUCUUGCUUAUCCUCUCCCGUACCCAUUUUUUUUCCCCUGUGGCAACUGCUGAUCUGAGUUUAGCCGCACAGUGUCUAAGAAAGUUUACAGCAAAUGUUCUAGCAAUCAGAAAUGUGAUCAUCCUCAAAGGAUUUAGGACAGCAAAGGGAAUGCGUAUGAAAAGAACAGCUAGAAUGAUUUAUCCGUUUGCCGCACAAACACCAGUGAAAUGCACUAAAAAGAAAUGCAGCAGAUUGUGUGCUAGAUGCCAGCACUGCGCUUGCAAAUAAUGAGUUAACCAGUAAGUUGACCGAAAUAAAUGUGCAUUUUUUUUUUCUUCUGUGGACAACCGAGUCUCUAACAAGAACCACGUCUGUAAUAAAAGUUAUGAUGUCUCUAGCAGGAACUGGUAGUGCAAAUCAAACAUACCAUUAGCUUGUCAGGCUCAGCCAAGUGAAAUAACAAGCAGCUGGGUAGUGCUGUACACUGAAAUGGAAAACUGUUGCCCCUUAACAGAAGAUUUCCUCAGAGAAAAUUAAGCAUGAGGGGCAGCGACAGACCUGGUUAUUCAUGAGCACGGUGUCACGGGGAGGUCAGUGGAAGGACCUUACUUAAACCGUCAUUCUGGUUCAGGAAAUGCUGCCUGACUCCUGAAGUUAGCGGAGCAAACUCUCCCCGACACCUCGACGAGUAAAUCAGGGUAGCGGGGAAGUGCCUGGCACCAGGGAAAACGGAGGAGGAAGGGGCAACAUGCGAUUUCCCAUCUGACCAGCCACGCUUGGCCAUGAGACCCAAGUGCUUUCAGCUCCGAGGAGAUGGAGGGGAGGAUGGAGCAUGCCUGGAGCCUCGGCAGUGACUGCUGCGAUGGGUUCUGCUCAUCCUGCUCCAGGAUGGGUAGGAGGAAAACGGAGCAGGAGCCGUGGAGGCUCCCCCUGCCUCAGGCUACUUGGUGAGGCAUCAGUACAUGUGGAACAAGCACUCCUUCAGGCUGCUUUAUUUCCUGACCUCAGCGGAGAAGAGGGAAAGGAAAAGGCGAAUAACAGCUACACGCUGUGGGAUUCCCUCCUCCUGUUUUGGAAAAGAAAGUGCAGAAGGGAGUCAGAGAGCCAGGGAAAAUGAGUGAGGUGUUUUUUGUGCUUUUGAUUCAAAGCCUGCAGUCUGCCUGCGGGGUUGCACUUCGUUCCAGUGGGUGUGAGUUUGGACCAGAGCUUGUUUUGAAAAAAGGGGUAUGAAGGAUGUGCAGAAAGUUCCUUUACAAGAGAAGGGAACAUCACAGGGAAACCUCUCCACCACACAUUGUGAGGAAUGAAAUCCGGAUGGAGAUCCCCAUUGCAGGGAAGUGGGGGGAGGUAACGUAUUCUGUUAGGGAAAGGGAGAGUUUUCAAAUAUUUAUUUUUUACUAAAAAAAUUACCACAUAAAUUUUCUGUGUAAAGGAAGUAUUUCUCACAGAAAUUCCCCACAAAGAAUAGAGCUGUUCUUUAUAAAAGCCUUUCCAGUUUUAAAUAGAAACAUUUCCAUCCAGCUUAGCCUAGAGGUGACGGCUCUGACCCUCAGGUAGCCUCUGGAGGGGGUUGUGGGUCAGGAGUGUGAUCCUUAUAGGUAUAGCUGGAUAUGGCUACAAAAUGUGGCAUAGCAUGAAAAAACUGGCUGGAUGUCCAGGCCCAGAGUGCUGGCGAAUGGAGUUAAAUCCAAUUGGCGGCCGGUCAAAAGUGGUGUUCCCCAGGGCUCAGUAUUGGGGCUGGUUCUGUUUAAUACCUUUAUCAAUGACCUGGACGAGGGGAUCGAGUGCACCCUCACUCAGUUUGCAGAGGACACCAAGCUGGCGGGGGAGUGUUGAUCUGCCUGAGGGUAGGAAAGGUCUACAGAGGGAUCUGGACAGGCUGGAUUGAUGGGACGAGCCCAAUGGUAUGAGGUUCAACAAGGCCAAGUGCUGGGUCCUGCACUUGGGUCACAACAACCCCAUGCAGCGCUACAGGCUUGGGGAGGACUGACUGGAAAGCUGCCCAGUGAAAAAGAACCUCGGUGUCUUGGUCAACAGCUGGCUGAAUAUGAGCCAACAUUGUGCCCAGGUGGCCAAGAAGACAAACAUCAUCCUGGCUUGUAUCAGAAAUAGCGUGGCCAGCAGGACUAGGGAAGUGACCGUCCCCCUGCACUCAGUACUGGUGAGGCCCCACCUCGAAUACUGUGUCCAGUUUUGGGCCCCUCACUACAAGAAAGACAUUGAGGUGCUGGAGCGUGUCCAGAGAAGGGCAACAAAGCUGGUGAGAGGUCUGGAGCACAAGUCUUAUGAGGAGCGGCUGAGGGAACUGGGGUUGUUUAGCCUGGAGAAAAGGAGGCUGAGGGGAGACCUUAUCACUCUCUACAGCUACCUGAACGGAGGGUGUAGAGAGGUGGGGGUCGGUCUCUUCUCCCAAGUAACAAGUAAUAGGACAAAAGGAAACGGCCCCAAGUUGCGCCAGGGGAGGUUUAGAUUGGGUAUUAGGAAAAAUUUCUUCACUGAAAGGGUCAUCAAGCAUUGGAACAGGCUGCCCAGGGAAGUGGUUGAGUCACCAUCCCUGGAGGUAUUUAAAAGACAUAGAUGUGGUGCUGAGGGACAUGGUUUAGUAAUGGAUUUGGCAGUGCUAGGUUAACACUUGGACUUGGUGAUCUUAAAGAUCUUUUCCAUUCUAAAUGAUUCUAUGAUUCUAUGUUCAAUAUCCUGUAAGAAACACAGGAUAACAAAGAUUAAGGAGUCCUCCCCUCUCCAGUUCUCUUGUGUCCAAAACUCACUUUGUGUGUGUGCAGUAGCUCUAAUGGACCAGAGCCCACCAGAGUAAAACCAGUCACCUGUUAAUAACGCAGCCCAAAAAAACCAAGAUGCUUUGCCAUAAACAACACUUUUGCUUUUUUCUACAAUACAAAUGUCCCUAAACAUGAAGAUAGCUUGUACACUCUGAUGCACAUGGCUCAUUUCUUCAUUAUAUUUCCAGUGUGUGCACUUUGGUGGAGUCUACUCAUCUGCAAGAUUUCUGCUCUCCCCCCAGACCAGCCUGCUGUGUGCCGGAGGCUGGUGCUCAUCCCAGCUUCCAGCGUGUGCCACAUCAGUGGAACAUGAAUCAUGGCUGGUGUUCGGGCUUUGCAGAUGAAGUUUCAGGUUUCCAGCUCUGCUCUUUAAUUGUGACACUGCUUUUUUAUAUACCUUGCUGUUUUUUACUGAAAAAUAAAUAAAUGUUAAGGCAGGAAAAUGAAAAGUUCCCCCAGAAAUGAACCAUGAAUGUCCACCUCUCAGUUGUACAGAAAACCCAUUCUGAAUUUAUUUCCUAAAAUCACUUUUUUUCAAUAACUUUUUUUUUUCCCCUAUAAGAUUAAAAAAAAAAAGCUUAUUGAAACUCAUGGGCAGAGAAUUCAUUUGGUUCAAAUUGAUGGUCUCCUUCAGGCUAAUGGCUGAACUUGGCUUUAAAAAAAAAUGCGUUAUUGUAAGGAGUCUGUCUCGCAUGAAAAGUAAAUAGCCUUUCAAUGUCAGGAUUCGUUGUGGUAACUCAUCAUAAAUCAGUGUAAAGAACAAUAUCAAACAAUAAAAACGAUAUUUUGCCACUGUGGUGGAUCUUAAAGUUUUGAGAUGUCUGAUGUUGAUUUUAUCAGCUCUUCCCUGGAAAUAAAAAAGCUUCUCAUCCUCCCAGGGAAGCUGCUCUCCAGGUCUGGAGCCAGCUGUGCUAUCCAGUCCCUCCUUCUAGUUCUUGUACCUUCCUUCCUCGGAACUUUCAGCUGCCACCAGAUCACAGUAACUUCUAUCAAAGUCUCUAGGGCCGCUUCCUCAGGGUAGGAUUUGAAGCUGGGUAUCUAUUGCUGCUCUCUAGCUCUACAUAUGUAUCUUUAUGAUGGGGGAGACCCGCAAGCCCACAAUCCCACAAUCCUCCCUCCUUCCCCACCAAGUAAUUUAUUAAAAGUAACCAACUCCUGAAAACAAAAGACUCCCAUGUAUCAGACAAAAGCGGAGAAGGGUCCAGUUUGGGUCUCGAAAAGCCUGGGUACAACUCUCAGCUUUGCCACAUAACUCCUCUGCAAGGAAUUAUGCUUCUUUUCACCCCACAUAUAAAAUGGAGAUAAAAAAAUGGUCAGUCACAAAAGUGGUCUCAAGUCUUGCCUCAAGACUUAUCAUGUCACUAAACUGCCAUGAUUUGUUUAUCCUCUGAAUUUGAGCCUGUGGGAUAUGAGAAUUUGAGAAUUUUCAAUCUUUUUUUCUGAAACCACUUAGUUAAAAAGUUCUUGGGCAACAGGCUUUUUGGCAAAACAGAAUCACACAAUGAAAUUCCUAAUGUGCCCAUCUUCAGGCUUUAAGCUUGACACGUUGUACCUGGUGAUGUUAGCUGGGGUUUUGACUUUGGAGGCAUUUUAACAUGAAGAAAGACAGAACACAGAAUCUGUUCUGCAUGCAUGAAAGUGAUUUGCUGGUUUGUUAUACUCGAUUUCGGCAUAUACCUGUUACCUAUUGGCAAAAUGGCUUCAGUUGAUGCCCACUGCCUCUUCACCCAUAGGCUUUAUUUAUAGCAGUGCACUGAUCAACGGUGAGUUUCUUAAAGCAGAGAGGCUCCUCAGAUCAGUACUUGUUCCAGCUUUGUCAGAGACAAAUAUUCCAACAUCACAGGCAUUUUUGCUAUCCCUAUUGCAGACAUUUAAUUGCAGGAUGAUUCAGGGCACAUUAAGCAGCCAAACUUCCCUAUACAGCCCAGGAAGAGCGGUCUCUCCAAGGGUGUUUCAAAGCACGGCUAUUGGCUGCCCAGCGCUAGACAGUAUGACUGUCUCCUUCCCAAAUAAUUCAGCCUCUCACAAGAAAAUCAUGAAUCAGGCUGAAAAAUCGCAGGACUUCUUAAAAACAGAAAGGGUAAUUUUGUUUGCUUUUCUAAGUGCACUCGUGUUGGGUGUUCAGGCUGCUUCUCUCCAGCCACGAGGGCAACACAUUUACUACAUGAUCGAGCUCCAUGUUGGCCCUUGGUUCCUGACUCUGGGCCUCCCACGGUAAAAAAAAAAGUAAUAUAUAAAGGUAGAAAGACUCAGAAAACAGCUGUUGGAAACACCAUCUUGCUGUUCACCUGGCAGCUUGGCAGCCUGUCAGCAGGGCUGGCAGGGAAGCCUUGGGGCCAUACCACCAAUGGACGAGGACCUCUGGUUCGGAGUCCCUCAGGGUGCAAGGAGCAGAGAUCGUGGGGCUGGGUCUAUCUGGGACCAUGUCUCCAAAGCUGAUAGGAAACAGGAUUGUUUCUUUCAUGGAACGGAAGAGAAUCUUAUUCCUUUCCAGCUUGGAAGGGAUCCUUCAGGGCCGGAUUCUGCAGGACGUCGUGCACAGAUGAGGUGAGAUCCAGGUAUCUGACACACACAGAGAACAGUGUCGAACCUGGUCUUAAAUUCAUUGUAAUUACAGAUUUUCAGAUGUAGUGAGCGUGCCACUGCCUUGUUCUUCCUCAAGGCAGGUUUCUGUUCAGUUAUGCGAGCCACUGCUUGAGGAUUGCAGAUUUGAUUUUCCUUAGAUUGAUUUCCUUAGAUUGAUUUGGGAAUUCGGUGUCACAGCUUUGGCAGUGUUAGUUUGCGAUGUUGCCUAUUUUAUGCCGUCUAUUUUCUUCUCUUGAUGAUAUUCAGUGUGGUGAUUAGCACACGUGGACUAUAUUUUCUGGGAUAUACAGUGAUUUCAGGCAAACAAAGGAAAAAAAAAAAGUGUAAAAAGUGGUUCUGGAAAUACUCAUUCUGUUGCCUGAAUGUAAAAGGUGGCAAGAGGCACAUGAAAAUUUUCAUUAGCCUGUGGGAGGGACACAAAGGUUUGGUUUAUAAGGACCUAUUAUUAUUUUCGAUUACAUAAGGCUAAAGAGAAAUCCUUUUUGAGACUUUUAGGAUGUGGUCAUCCAUUUUCUUCCCAUGUUACAAGCUUUCUGUCUCUCACUUUGAUGUGAGUAGAUCUGUAACCCAGCUUCUGUAAUUCCCAUCAAACCUCCAUAUAAUAUGGUUCAUUCUAAUAAUGCCACUGAUAACACUAAAAACAGCCAGUUCCCUAGGACACAGUGCAAUGAACAUUUUAUAUAGCAUCCUCCCUAUAAAGUAUCCUGAGGAAAACUUGACAAUGAGAAGUGGAGUAGACAGGAAAAAUUUUGGGUAACGUAACUUUCAUAUGGGCAGUGGGAGAAAGGUUUGUACAUUAUACAAAGGUUAAAUAUAGGCCAAGUCAAGACAAAGAGAGAGAACUGUUGUAGAAGUGGGAAACAUGCAGUGGGAAAUGGUUCUUUUUCUGAUAAGGGGGGAAAUAGACAAUAUAUUUUGACAUUCAGGUUCAGAAAGGUGGUAACUGAAGAAGCAAAAGAAUCAUAGAGUCAUACAAUCUUCAUGGUUGGAAAGGACCUUUGAGAUCAUUGAGUCCAACCAUACACACACACAAAAAAAACCCCAAACAAAACAAAACCCUACAAUCUCUGCCACUAAAGCAUGCCCUGGAGUGCCAAAUCUAGAUGUUUCUUAAAUACUGCUAGAGAUGGUGACUCAACCACCUCCCUGGGCAGACUGUUCCAGUGCCUGACCACUCUUUUAGUAAUUCUUCCUAAUAUCUAAUCUAAACCUCCCCUGAAGAAGCAAUGAAAGAACAGGUCAGGGAACAGACAUGCGAAAAAACAAGUAUAAUGUCAGUGUCUGGGGGCUCAGAAGAUGAGGCAAAUCUAAGAUUUUGGAAAAUAAGGAGGAUUCGGCAUCGGAGGGGAAACCACAAAACAGGAGCAAAUUGUUCUGCUUCCAGCAGGCAGCACUCAGGCAGCGCAUUGACCACUCUCCUCUUCGAUGCAGAGUGUGUCUGACCCCAUCCACAUCUGCACAGGCAACUCGCUGAACCCACUAACGUGAUGGUUUUG